CUGGGAUCUGUAUGGGUAAGACAACCCCAGUAUCCUUUAAAAUCAGCAUGCCAGUAGUAGAUUUCAAGAUGCCUUUUGCUGCAUCUCCAGGAGCAAGGCAAGCCAAGAAACCUUUGCUUUUUGAAGGAGAAAAUGCAGAGAUGGAGAAGGAAGAAAUGAAUAUACCUGAGACCUCCCUGAGCCACAGGCAGUCCAUGAAGAGCCUUCCUGGGAAUGGGAGGAUGGUGAGGACUCUGCAUUGCUCCCUCUGGAUGCGUGGGGGCUGUGGCAUGGAAACUGCAGAGAGCCAAGCCAGGGGAUUGAAAGGGACUAAUCCAGGAAGGUGAAGAAAGAAGGAAGAAGGAACUGAGGCAGCAGCCAAGCAGCACCAAGUUCCUCUGUCAGCAAGUGAGUUGUCUUGAGGUUCCUAAGGCAGACCCUUGGGACUUUGGAGACUCCAGACAGAGAAGACCGUGGAAGCCCCUUGGAGAAGCCCCUCAGAAACCUUACAGGGUAGAUGUGGAUGGUAAUAAGUGCUGGGCAAUGUCCUGAGUGUGGAACAGGAAUGCAGGGAACAAAGUGAACCCUCCUGUAAUGCUGAUCCCUCCCCUCAGCUACAGUGGAGACCCCUCUGUGUGCACUGCGGGAGCUGAUGGCCAGGACAGGCGCUGGGCUGGGAUGAUCCAAGAGCAUAGGAAUAAAAGAAUGCCUGGCUUGUAAAACUCACCAGUUGAGUCUUUGGGGUUUUUGUAGGAAAUUGUAGGUGACACCUGAAGCUCUAGUGUGGACUUGUGUGUUUGGUUGGGAAGAGAUUUUCCAGGGAAGAGGAAUCUUUGUCAGUGCGAGAAGUUGCCCUUGAUGAAGUUCCCUUCAGAGCUGAUGCCCUUGGCAGGAGAAGGGCUCAGCAAGGAGGCUUUUUCCUCCUGGGCAGGAAGAGAGGCCAGUGCCCUUCCUGCCCAAGGCCCAGCCCAGCAGGGCUUGCAGGAGCUGCUGGUGUGGCUGUUCUUUGGGUUCUCAGCUGUGCCUGUGGGGUGGUGACGUCGCGUUCCUGCCUGUGCUCCAGGACAGCCCCUGGGCCUUUUUGGGAGCCUGAGGGAUUGCAGCACUGGUGUCCUUCUGUCCUCCAGGUAGAACUGUCUGGGGUAGUCUCUGAUCUCCCUGAUUUUUGUAUCAUCCCUGAAACUUGGAAAAAAGUUGCCCUUGUGUGACUUCCCCCCUGACUUGUCUGGGUUGAAGCAAGAGUGGCAGAUUGUUGUAGUGUGCAGGUGUUUGUUUGUGUCUGAGCAGUUUGGGGUUUAUUUCCCAAGGGAGGCCAUGGAAUGUUCUGGUGUUUUUGUCCCAAUAUUUGGAGGUAGUGCCCUGCAUUAGUUGAUUUCUGCCCCUCUCCCUGAUAUCUGAGUGUGGAAGUGGACCAAGAGCUGGUAGUUUGUGCAAUGGGAUGUACCCUGGAAACUCCAUGGAGCUGAGUCAAGGGAUUGAAAGGGACUAAGGAAGCAAAGGAAAGAAACAAGGAGGAAGGGAACUGAGGCAGCAGCCAAGCAACACCAAGUUCCUCUGUCAGCAGGUGAACUGUUUGAAGCUGAUAAGGUGGUGACUUAGAACUUUGGGGGCUCCAGGCACUGGUGACCACCAGAGACCCCCAGUGUAACCACUCAGACCUUCUAAGGGUAGGUGUGUAUGGGAAUAGGUGUUGGGGGAUGUCCUGAGUGUGGAUCAGGAAUGCAGGGAAUAAAGUGAAGCCUCCUGUAAUGCUGAUCCCUCCCCUCAGCUGCAGUGGAGACCCCUCUGUGUGCACUGUGGGAGCUGAUGGCCAGGACAGGCGCUGGGCUGGGAUGAUUGCAGGGUGUUGUCAGCAAGGAAUGCCUGGCUUGUAAAAGUGCCCAGCUGAGUGUGAGAGGCUUCUUUGCCGAGCUGCUUUCAGGCAGCCAAAUGGGCCCCAGCAGGGACUCUGUGCCUGCUGUCCCGUGGUUCCCAGGGAUCUCUGGGCCUUCAUGCCGGCACCGAGGUGUUCUCGGGAAGGCCCUCAGAUCCCCGGAGCAGUGUGGGACACGGGCACGAUGCCCCUGCCUUUUGGGAGCAGAUUGGGCCCCCUGGAGGGACAGUGCUGUUGGUGCCCCCCGGGCUGGGGCACCCCGAGGACUCGAGCGCGCACCCAAAGGAUUCUUCGGGGAGCUCCUCUGGGUGCCCCAAGCUGGGGAGCUCCAAGCAAGGUCCCUGCAAUGGACUGAGGCAUUCCUGAGAGUAUCAGAGGUGUAGCUGUCCGUCCUGGCCAUGGAGCUCUGGAAUGGGCUGUAAUUGGGUUCUAAAAGUGGUGCUCCGACUGCCAAAGAAGUGUGGGAUUGGGAUUAAGGAAUGAGUGGUGAUGGUACCAUUGGGUGUUUUGUCUUGAGUGGAAUUGUGAGAGCUGCAGGAGUGCAAGGUGUGGGUUCCAGUCCCCAGCAUUUGGUUUGGACAUGUGCUGGUCAGACAAAGGUCCAACUUUCUCAGUCCUUAACACAAGAGAGGGAGAAUUGCACUGUGAAGGUGAAUGGUGUGACAGGGGUUUAACUGGGAAAACAGUGAGUAAUUCCUUACUUUGUGUAUUUUCCGAAAUUACCCAAACCACUGCCAGGAAGAGAUUGGUUGGAAAAGCUGAGGUAGAAAUGAAAUUGGAAAAUGGGAGAUGACUGAAAUGGUAAUUGCUGAAACUAACUGUGUGAGAGCAGCUUCUCUUCUCGUGCAGGAAAUAACUCUUAUCAGCAGCACCGUCCCGACUGAAGUGGCAGAUGGAGUUGUUCCUGUGGUGUGGGCCAGUGGAAAACAGUUGUGGCCUAUGAAGGGCCAGGUUGGACACUUGUCAAACAGGAGCAGAAGUGACUCUCCAGGUAGCCCAAUAUAAAUAUGGGAAGCCAAGGGGUCAAGUAAACCAGUGCAUGCUGGGAGUGCAGAGGCAGGGAUAGGUUGGGAUCACAAGAACUGGGGUGGAGAUGCUUGGGAUUGAGCUGCUUUAGAGCCUGGUUCAGAGGGGGAAGUGUUUGCUGAAGCACAGCCAAUAACAGGAGAGAAAGGGGAAGGUGACCCCGAUGGUUCUCCCGUCAGGCCUGAUGUGGUGGAGGAUUUUACUCAGCCUGAACUUGCUGGUGCUGUGGAGAAGUUUAAAGCAAAGGCCAGAGAGUCUGUGAUCUCCUGGGCAGUUGGGCUGCAUGAGCUGGGAGCCUCUGGGCUCAGAUUGGACUGGGCAGGCAGGGAGCAGUUUGUCCCGUGGAGCUGGGCUGGGUUUGUUCGGGAUGCCUUGGGAGGCAGGGCUGGAGAGGCUCCUUUGUUGGCUGCAGUGGUGGGAGGUUGUCCCAGGAGGGCUGGAGCCCUUGGACCUCCUGCUCCCCCCGUGAGCCCCGACGGGACCGUGCACUUGGCAAUGGAGGGCCCCCCAUUGCCGAGUCAGCGGUUCCGGGGGCCGGCAGGGAUGGGAUCAGGAUGCCGAGCUCCGGCCAGGGCAGGGCUGCAAAUGGGGCAGCCACUGCAAGAACCCAAGGCAGAGGGAGAUGAAGGCCGAGCUCCAGCACAAGGGUGGGCGAGAAAAGCCCGUGGCCCUCAGGUGGAGCUUUGAAUUCCUUGGGAAAAUGGAUCUUGUCCAAGGGCUUAGGCCCUUGUGGGUGCUGGAGCGGAGGCCUCUUCAACUGAUGGUGACCCUAAAAAGGUGCAAGGACAACAAGUUUUGAUGACAGGAUGAGGUGGCAAACAAGGUGAAGUGGUCCAGAGAAAAGCUGAGCUUCAGAUUGGUGCUGUGCCCAAGCAGCCUUGUGGAGUGCUUGUUGCUGUGCCUGACUGUGGAAUGGCAGUGGAUAUUCCCAAGGGCUGCCUUGUGCCGAGGAACACUGGGCUCAGUUCCCUGUCCCUGGGCAGGGCAGGCAGGGCAUGUUUACCUGCCCCCCUCGAGGGUGGCUCCAUAAGACUUGACUUGAUCCCCAAGCGUGAGGGGGCCGUGGGGGAGGGAUUUCUGCUGAGCCACAGUUCUGUCUCUCGGGGCAGUCAGGAUUUGAUGCCUUGCUCCGUUUCUUUUGUGUGCCAUAAAUCUGUGUCGGGUGUUGUUGGCUUGAGCUUGUUUCAACUGUUCCUGUUACCCUGUGCCUGGGGAGGAGUUGUUUCCUGGAGUGCCCUGCCUGUUGGCAAAACACCAGGUGUGUGCAGCAGCUGGAGCCUGGGCAGGUUUGGGGGCUGUGGUGAUGGUACAAUUGGGUGUUUUCUCUUGAGUGGAAUUGUGAGAGCUGCAGGAGUGCAAGGUGUGGGUUCCAGUCCCCAGCAUUUGGUUUGCACAUGUGCUGGUCAGACACGGGUCCAGCUUCCUCCACCCCUCACACAACCGAGGGAGACUUCAGGAAUGGCGCUGUGAGGGUUUGUGGCGUGACAGGGGUUAAAGUGGGAAAAUCUUGGGGAAUUCCUCAGUUGGUCUAUUUGCAAGCUCUCCUAAGCCUUUUCUAGGAAGAGAUUUGCUGGUUAAGUUGAGGCAGGUAUUAAACUGAACAAUGGAGAGAUGAUGGAAAUUGUAAUUGCUGAAACUAACUGUGUGAGAGCAGCAGCUCUUCUCGUGCAGGAAAUAACUCCUGUCAGCAGCACCGUCCCGACUGGAGUGGCAGAUGGAGUUGUUCCUGUGGUGUGGGCCAGUGGAAUUCCAGGAAAAUGGAAGAGGGCUGACCUUGUAGGUAUUAGCCCUAAGCUGGGAUCUGUAUGGGAGAAAAUCCAGAAAUGGGGAAGGAAGAAAAGAAGCCACCUGAGUCCUCCCUGAGCCACAGCCAGUGCAUGAAGUGCCUUCCUGGGAAUGGGAGGAUGAUGUGCCCUGCAGGAACUCCAGGAAUUGACGGUGACGCCUCGGCCGAUGGAUUGGACGCCCCAGCCUGUGCGUUCCUGCCCAGCCCUUGGGUCCCUGUCAAGUGGUGGGACUGCCAGCCCCUGCAGGGGACUGUGACAUGGAAACUGCAGAGAGCCGAGCCAGGGGAUUGCAAGGGACUAAGCCAGGGAGGUGAAGGAAGAAGGGAAGUGAGGCAGCAGCCAAGCAGCACCAAGUUCCUCUGUCAGCAGGUGAGUUGUCUUGAGGUUCCUCAGGCAGGCCCUUGGGACUUUGGAGACUCCAGACAGAGAAGACCGUGGAAGGCCCUUGGAGAAGCCCCUCAGAAACCUUACAGGGUAGGUGUGGAUGGUAAUAAGUACUGGAGAACACCCUGAAUAGUAAACGAGAAUGCAGGGAAUGGAAAAGGGCAUCAUUACAUGAGAGUUCAAUCAGCUGCAGUGGAGACCCCUCUGUGUGCACUGUGGGAGCUGAUGGCCAGGACAGGCACUGGGCUGUGAUGAUUGCAGGGUGUUGUCAGCAAGGAAUGCCUGGCUUGUAAAACUGCCCAGCUGAGUCUGAGAGGCUUCUUUGCCGAGCUGCUUUCAGGCAGCCAAAUGGGCCCCAGCAGGGACUCUGUGCCUGCUGUCCCGUGGUUCCCAGGGAUCUCUGGGCCUUCACGCCGGCACCGAGGUGUUCUCGGGAAGGCCCUCAGAUCCCCGGAGCAGUGUGGGACACGGGCACGAUCCCCCUGCCUUUUGGGAGCAGAUUGGGCCCCUGGAGGGACAGUGCUGUUGGUGCCCCCCGGGCUGGGGCACCCUGAGGACUCGAGUGCGCACCCAAAGGAUUCUU